ACAGAGGUUAAAGAUUUAUCGCUGAAGGAUGAGUCCGCGUCCGAUUAGCUUGAUGGUGGGGUAAAGGCCUACCAUGGCUCCGAUCGGUAACUGGUCUGAGAGGAUGAUCAGUCACACUGGAACUGAGACACGGUCCAGACUCCUACGGGAGGCAGCAGUAGGGAAUAUUGCGCAAUGGGGGAAACCCUGACGCAGCGACGCCGCGUGAGUGAUGAAGGCCUUCGGGUUGUAAAGCUCUGUUCAGAGGGAAUAAAAAAAUGAAGGUACCUCUGGAGAAAGGACCGGCUAACUUCGUGCCAGCAGCCGCGGUAAUACGAGGGGUCCAAGCGUUGUUCGGAAUCAUUGGGCGUAAAGCGGGUGUAGGUGGUUGUGUAAGUCAGAAGUGAAAGCCCAGGGCUCAACCCUGGAAGUGCUUUUGAUACUGCAUAACUUGAGUGUGGGAGAGGAUAGUAGAAUUCCUGGUGUAGUGGUGAAAUACGUAGAUAUCAGGAGGAAUACCGGUGAGGAAGCUGGCUGUCUGGCCCAACACUGACACUCAGACCCGAAAGCGUGGGGAGCAAACAGGAUUAGAUACCCUGGUAGUCCACGCCGUAAACGAUGAACACUUGGUGUUGGAGGUAUUGACCCCUUCAGUGCCGAAGCUAACGCGUUAAGUGUUCCGCCUGGGGAGUACGGUCGCAAGAUUAAAACUCAAAGAAAUUGACGGGG
rnacentral:rRNA from 1 species